rnacentral:rRNA from 1 species
ACGGGGUGCAGCAGGCGCGAAACCUUUACAAUGCACGCAAGUGUGAUAAGGGGAUCCUAAGUGCUCAUGCAUUGCAUGGGCUUUUGCCAAGAGUAAAUAUCUUGGCGAAUAAGUGGUGGGAAAGACCGGUGCCAGCCGCCGCGGUAACACCGGCGCCACAAGUGGCAACCACGUUUAUUGGGCCUAAAGCGUCCGUAGCCGGUUCAGUAAAUCUUUUGUGAAAUCGUCGGGCUCAACCCGACGGCGCGCUUGAGACACUACUGAACUCGAGACUGGGAGGAGUUAAAGGUAUUCCGUGGGGAGCGGUAAAAUGUGAUAAUCCUCGGAGGACCACCUAUGGCGAAGGCAUUUAACUAGAACAGAUCUGACGGUCAGGGACGAAGGCCAGGGGAGCGAUCCGGAUUAGAUACCCGAGUAGUCCUGGCAGUAAACGCUGCGAGCAAGAUGUUGCGCUUCUUAAGAGGAUGCGCAGUGCCGAAGCGAAGGCAUUAAGCUCGCCGCCUGG